GACGAACGCUGGCGGCGUGCUUAACACAUGCAAGUCGAACGGAAAGGCCCUGCUUUUGGGGGGUGCUCGAGUGGCGAACGGGUGAGUAACACGUGAGUAACCUGCCCUUGACUUUGGGAUAACUUCAGGAAACUGGGGCUAAUACCGGAUAGGAGCUCCUGCUGCAUGGUGGGGGUUGGAAAGUUUCGGCGGUUGGGGAUGGACUCGCGGCUUAUUAGCUUGUUGGUGGGGUAGUGGCUUACCAAGGCUUUGACAGGUAUCCGGCCUGGGCGGGUGACCGGCCACAUUGGGACUGAGAUACGGCCCAGCCUCCUACGGGAGGCAGCAGUGGGGAAUAUUGCACAAUGGGCGGAAGCCUGAUGCAGCCAAGCCGUGUGCGGGAUGACGGCAUUCGGGUUGUAAACCGCUUUCGCCUGUGCCGAAGCGUGAGUGACGGUAAUGGGUAAAGAAGCACCGGCUAACUCCGUG
rnacentral:rRNA from 1 species